UACGUAGGGUGCGAGCGUUGUCCGGAAUUAUUGGGCGUAAAGGGCUCGUAGGCGGUCUGUUGCGUCAGGAGUGAAAACUCGGGGCUCAACUCCGAGCUUGCAGUCGAUACGGGCAGGCUAGAGUUCGGCAGGGGGAGACUGGAAUUCCUGGUGUAGCGGUGAAAUGCGUAGAUAUCUGGAGGAACACCGGUGGCGAAGGCGGCAUCCUGGACCGGCAUUGACGCUGAGUGAGCGAAAGCCAGGGGAGCAACGGG
rnacentral:rRNA from 1 species